rnacentral:rRNA from 1 species
UACGUAGGGGGCAAGCGUUAUCCGGAAUUACUGGGUGUAAAGGGAGCGUAGACGGCGAGGUAAGCCUGAAGUGGAAGCCCGCGGCCCAACCGCGGAACUGCUUUGGGAACUGUUUUGCUGGAGUAUGGGAGGGGUAAGCGGAAUUCCUGGUGUAGCGGUGAAAUGCGUAGAUAUUAGGAGGAACACCAGUGGCGAAGGCGGCCUGCUGGACGAUGACUGACGUUGAGGCUCGAAAGCGUGGGGAGCAAACAGG